rnacentral:rRNA from 1 species
CUCCCCCAAGAGUCCACAUCGACGGGGAGGGUUGGCACCUCGAUGUCGGCUAGGCGCAUCCUGUGGCUGUAGGCGGUCCCAAGGGGUGGGCUGGUCGACAAUUAAAGCGGCAAGCGAGCUGGSUUCAGAACGUCGUGAGACAGUUCGGUCCCUAUCCGUCGCGGGCGUUGGAAAUUUGAGAGGAGCUGUCCUUAGUACGAGAGGACCGGGAUGGACUUACCGCUGGUGUACCAGUUGUUCUGCCAAGGGCAUUGCUGGGUAGCUAUGUAGGGAAGGGAUAAACGCUGAAAGCAUCUAAGUGUGAAGCCCACCUCAAGAUGAGAUUUCCCAUUUCUUUAAGAAAGUAAGAUUCCUGAGAGAUGAUCAGGUAGAUAGGUCAGGAGUGGAAGUACAGUGAUGUAUGGAGCGGACUGAUACUAAUCGAUCGAGGACUUAACCAAU